CUCCGAGAGGGCAAGGUCUUGCCCAGAUGGACUCCUAGUUCUUCUGACUCCAGAGGCUGUGUUCUUCCCAUCACCACUUGUAGUUUUCUGGCCUUUGGGGCCUGCAGGGAAAUGCUCAGUCCCAGGCCCGCAGCUCACAACGGACCAGCUUCUGGCCUGGCCAGGAAGCCAUAGAUGGGGCAGUGUAGGCGCUCCCCGGGGGCAGAAGCGGGUAUAGACAGAUCUGAGACCCAGCUCAAAGGGCUAUAGUAGGCAAGAGCAGCGACAUGGGCAAGACCAGGGAUGUGAUGAGAAAAGGAGAGGAAUUAAUUUGUACGAACUCGCAGGGCCUAAGCCUGACAGUGCCUGGGAACCCAGCUCCAUCCCAGGUGCCCGUCUCCAGGGACAUGGGCCCUUGGGGGAGAUGCAAGCAGCUAAUAAGGCUAAGAAUGGAGGAAGGAGCCAGAAUUUGAGGAGCCAUCUCCCUCCCUCCCUGCAGCUUUCUCUCCUGUCUGCAGUUUAUUAGCACACACAAAGGCACGCAGUCACAAUACACAGGCUACACAACCACAUAUCCAGCCACAGACACAUGACCACACAAACACACAGUGCCACAAGCACACACAUACAAGGACUCACUCGCAUACAGUCUCUCACACACACACACACACACACACAGGGCUACAUGGGCACAGAGUCACACGACCACCUGCAGUUACCCUGACUUACAGACGUCCAGCUGGCUCGCAUCCAAGGGCAAUGUUGUACAGAACGUGUGUAUGUUUAUGCACUGGAAUCACACUCAGCGGCGAGCUGCUCGUGCAACCAGAUACCAGUUCUCAUCACAGGUUUGAAUUUUCCAUCUCACACUCACUGAGGGGCACGUGUUCAUCACAGGUGGACACUCACUACCACAUAAGGUUUCCAGUCUCUUUCUGGCCAAGACUGCAUAGUUGAAUUUGAGUGCUUUGAUGGAAUGCAUUCAGGACACAGCUGCAUCGUGCCUCAGCUCUCUGAAGCAGUUUCUUCUUCUGUAACAUGGGGCAAUAACAGUACUACAGUAUCAGGUUCUUGUGUAGAUCAGACAAUAUGUGUAGGAAUUUUAAAUUCCUGCCAGGUAAAU
rnacentral:lncRNA from 1 species